CUCUUAUAAAAUUUUAAGUAAUCUCUGCCCUAUGAUCUCUAAAUGGCCGCAGUAUAUUGACUGUGCAAAGGUAGCAUAAUCAUUUGUCUCUUAAUUGGGGGCUAGGAUGAAGGAGGCGACGAAAUAUAAUCUUUUGAACUUAAAGGUAAAUUUGACAUAAGAGUUAAAAGGCUCUUAUUUUUCUGGGGGACGAUAAGACCCUAUAAAACUUUAUCUUUACUGGUGUCUACAAGGCAACAGAUUACGAGGGGGAUUUAACUGGGGCGGUUUUUACUUUACCUGUAUUAAUUUUAAUAUAAAAAAUAGAUUUAGAUAACUUAAUUAAAAAUUUAAACAAGUUACUUUAGGGAUAACAGCAUAAUCCCCUUAGAGAGUCCAAAUCGGCAAGGGGGGUUAUGACCUCGAUGUUGAAUUGAGAAAAUUUCUAUUUGGGCAGCCCCGUAGAGAGUUAGUCUGUUCGACUAUUAAAGUCUC
rnacentral:rRNA from 1 species